CUUUCGACCAGCUCGACGCUGGAGCCCUCCGCGUGGCCCGGGGGUCUCUGCAGAGGCACUUACCAGGGCCGCCCCUGCUCUCCGCGCGUCGCCCCAUGUGGGCGCCUAGGGCUAGUCUUCGACCCCAGCUCGGCUCCCGCUCAGAGAGGCCUCCCAGGCCCCAGGGGAGCCGCAGUGAGAGCUCUUCUGCGGCCAGGACAUCCUCAGGGUACCGGGGACCCUUCCUCCCCAGAAAUAACUCUCUUGGCGCCUAAGGUCCCUCUUUCCCCCAGGGGCCGAGGCGCGCGUCACUUGUGCCUGCGACCCCGAUGCUCAAGGGAUCCGGGCCACAUGGAGCUUCAAGCUCCUUUUGCAAUGAAAAGAGAAAAAACAAACAAGACUCUUGGAGGAACCGACCCGGGACGGAGGCGCAGAGCCCUGGACGGCGUUCGAGUUGGGACGCACGCGGGGCCCCCGCCUGCCCGGGGGCUCUGGGGACUCUGACAUGGUCUAUUUAGGAAGCGGAUGAGAUCACGGGCCUGAAGCACUUUAGCCUUCAAGGCAGAGCAGUGUUAAUUCCGGUGUUAGCAAGAAACGGAGGCUGACAAGAUGCUGACAAGCUUAAGGACUGGUACUUGAAAGAAGCUUUUCCAGGAGAUAAGGUGUAUUUGAACAUGUGAUGAUUGAUAUACAGAAUAGAGCUUUUUGCUAAUUGUCCUUUUCAUGGUGGUAGCAGGGGUGAAUUUUUUAAAAAAAACUGCCAAGUAUCUGUAAGAAUAUAUAUCUGCCCUGUAGAGAAUUUUCGGCAGAAUUCAAUUCCAUUAUUUAAAACAGUUUUUUUAAAUAAGAUCCAGCCUGAAUCUUGACAUAGUAGCUAGACUAGCUAUUCUACAACUAUCUUAAGAGAAUUUGGCUAGCUGCUUUAAUUUACAAAGGUUAUUUUUAAAUCCCAUUCUUUUGACUAUGCUAAACCUCGGGGUUUUGUGCUUGCAGUUUUGUCUAAUCAUUUUGAUGAUUAAAUUUGACCCCUUGUAUAGAGGACAGAUCAGUGGAGGAGUUUGUUGCAUAGCAUUUUGAGGGUUGGGGCUGAGGAACUGUCUACACUUUGAUUAUAGUGGUAAUUCCAUUUGUCAGAAAUUUUGAGUGAGUUUUACUGAAUGUAAAUUCAAUUUCAAUAAAUAUGACUUUAAAACUUUC